rnacentral:tRNA from 1 species
GCCGAAGUGGCGGAAUUGGUAGACGCGCAUGGUUCAGGUCCAUGUGUCUUCACGGACGUGGGAGUUCGAGUCUCCCCUUCGGCACCA